rnacentral:rRNA from 1 species
UACGGAAGGGGCAAGCGUUGUUCGGAAUCAUUGGGCGUAAAGGGCGCGUAGGCGGGCGCCACAAGUCACUUGUGAAAACUCUGGGCUCAACUCAGAGCCUGCAAGCGAAACUGUGGUGCUGGAGUAUGGGAGAGGUGCGUGGAAUUCCCGGUGUAGCGGUGAAAUGCGCAGAUAUCGGGAGGAACACCAGUAGCGAAGGCGGCUCGCUGGGCCACACCUGACGCUGAGACGCGAAAGCUAGGGGAGCGAACAGG